AUGGCGGAUAAUAGGGGAAAUAAAGAAACAACAAAAAUAUAUUUAUUAUUUAAAGUGAAAACAAAAUACCCAAACUGACUGAAACCAAAACUUUUGUCGUCGUGAACGCUUCAGCGGCUGUCACAUUGGAAGAAGAUGCAGCUGACCGAUGUGUAGCUAGCUUUUGCUGCCAAGGCUAUCUAGAAUAGCCUACAGCACAGCAGAGCACGUCUAAAAGAGAGAUGGCUCAACAGACGUGCUCGUUAAUUCAUGAACAUUCUGUCGCUGAAAACGCUCACUGGAACCGUUGUGUUGUGGCGAACUGCAGGGAUGCAUCCACAGCGAACACAGAGUGGAUUUUGGAGGCAAGCAAACCCCAAAAUAACUGGAUUGAUAUCCAUCAACUGGAGC